UACGUAGGGGGCAAGCGUUGUCCGGAUUUAUUGGGCGUAACGAGCGUGUAGGCGGCCUGAAAGGUCAGCUGUGAAAACUCGAGGCUCAACCUCGAGACGUCGGUUGAAACCAUCUGGCUAGAGUCCGGAAGAGGAGUGUGGAAUUCCCGGUGUAGCGGUGAAAUGCGCAGAUAUCGGGAGGAACACCAAUGGCGAAGGCAGCUCGCUGGGACGUGACUGACGCUGAGACGCGAAAGCGUGGGGAGCAAACAGG
rnacentral:rRNA from 1 species